rnacentral:rRNA from 1 species
UACGUAGGGUGCAAGCGUUGCCCGGAUUUAUUGGGCGUAAAGGGCGCGUAGGCGGCUCGGCACGUCCGUUGUGAAAUCGCCCGGCUCAACUGGGCGGGGUCAGCGGAUACGGCCGAGCUUGAGCAAGCUAGGGGGCAAUGGAAUUCCCGGUGUAGUGGUGGAAUGCGUAGAUAUCGGUAGGAACACCAGUGGCGAAGGCGGUCUCCUGGGGCAUUCUUGACGCUGAGGCGCGAAAGCUGGGGGAGCGAACGGG